GCGGGUAUGGUGGAAUGGUAGACACAACUGUUUUAGGAGCAGUGGCUUUCAGCUUGCGGGUUCAAGUCCUGCUAUCCGUA
rnacentral:tRNA from 1 species